CCUAACACGUGUUGCUUUUACACCUUCUCACCAUCUAACCUAUGAUUAUCGUCUGAGCUAAGCUACCUCCAGAUAGAGAGAGAGAGAGACGGUCUUUUUUAUAGAGAGAGGGGGAGAGUGAAAAGGAAAUGGAUGGUUGUAAUGGCUGGCAUGUGAUAAGAGGAGCUGCUGCUGCUGCUGACGCUUGUGGUCGUGCUGGUGCUCAGGAUAAAACGAUAAUCAACCGGAUAAUGCAUAGAUUCCGACCGAUUGCACCGAAGCCGGCUGCCGGUACUGAUCUAGACUCUAGCUCUUCAGUGAUUGGCAACAAAGAAUUGGUAGCUUUCAAGACAACUAGAAGAAAGAGAAAGUACGUUAGGGUUUGUAAGAGUAAUAAAUUGAAGAAAAACAAAAGGGUGCCGGGAGUACCAUCGUCAGAUCAAGAAAAGGAAAGAGAAGGGGAAGGAGAAGGAGGUGAUUUCAGCAGUGUUGUUACUUUACAGUUAUUACCAGAGAGAAGUGAAUCGAAGGAUGAUGAGUCGCAAUUAGAAAGAAUGGGAAAGACAUGGUGCAAUAAUGAUAAUUCUCAAGAUCUUGCCGUAGAUAAUAUUAAAGAAUAUGUCGAUGAUCAAGAAAAGCAAGAACAGCCCAUGUGUUUUAAGUUCAAGUUAAAGCAGCCCAUGAUUGAGGGUUAUGGUAAGCCAGAUCAGAUGUUCGUGAUGCUUCCUCAAAAGAGGGAAACUACAGUAGCGGAAUCCUGGGUGACGGUAGAGUGCGUGACAGACAUAUACAGUACAUGCAUGGAUGGUCGAGCUAUAUUAUUAGGGUGUACAGACGUGGAGAGAAUGAGGAAUCUGGAGGGGGACACGUGUCCCGGAUUCAUAUCGGACGGUUUGAAUCACGUACAAUGGAUAAACUGGGCUUACAAGAAGAUGGUGGAGAUGGUAACGAAGGAAGAUAGUAAAGAGAGAGUACAGCUGUAUGAUACAGUUCCAGAAGUAAUGGUUUGGUUGGUGAUAAAGGAAAAGUUGUUGCCUUUUGUGGACUGUGCCUCUGCGUUUAGCUGCUGGGUUAGGUUACAGAACUCGUGGCAGAAAGAGAAGGGCUCGCAGACGGUUGUUCCUUGUGAUGUUUGGAGAAUGGAUUGUGGAGGGUUUGCAUGGAGACUGGAUGUUGACUCCGCACUCAGUUUGGGCCGUUGAUGAAGAGCACAGAUCAAACGUCGAUAAAUAAUCAGGUAUUUUAAAGGGACUCAGGGGUCUUAUAAAAAAGAUAAAUACUUUUUUGACGGUGACAGGAAAAGAGUUGCUAUGCAAAAGUCAUGGAAGUGUAUAUAUAUAUAUAUAUAUAUAUGAUCUUCACUGUAGUUGCUGGAAGAACAACAGCCAGGUUGCUCCAAGUUCAAGUUCGAUAUGCAGAAAUCUGCAGACAAUGCUGGAACUACAACGUCAUGUAAAGAUCUGCAGUUCAGGAAAUACGUAGAUUAAAGGACGGCAUGCAGAAAUCUGCAGACAAUGCACGUUGAUAUAGUCAAACAGUGAAUUUGGAGGAACUGGUUGUUAAUGCAAAAUUCAUGACAAAAUGUCUUGGAACAAUAUAUGCAUUACAUUUGCUACAGAGUGAUAUAAAAUCAUAAAAUUAUUUUUGGAA